rnacentral:rRNA from 1 species
GAUGAACGCUAGCGAUAGGCUUAACACAUGCAAGUCGAGGGGCAGCAUGGUCUUAGCUUGCUAAGACUGAUGGCGACCGGCGCACGGGUGCGUAACGCGUAUGCAACUUGCCUCACAGAGGGGGAUAACCCGUCGAAAGACGGACUAAUACCGCGUACACUUGGGAUAGUGCAUCCUGACCCAAGGAAAUGGAUUUCGCUGUGAGAUAGGCAUGCGUCCCAUUGGCUAGUUGGUGCGGUAACGGCUCACCAAGGCGACGAUGGGUAGGGGAACGGAGAGGUUGAUCCCUGAUAUGGGAGGUGGAACAGCGACAAUGGGACUAAGGCAGGGAGCAGUGAGGAACGUUGGGCAGCGGGGGAGAGCAUUAACCAGCCAAGUAGCGUCAAAGACGACUGUGUUAUGGAAGGUAUGCUGCUUUUAUGCGGGAAUAGCAAGAGUCACGUGUGGCAUACUGAAUGUACCGGAUGAAUAAGCACCGGCUAACUCCGUG